AUAUUUACCGGUAAGUGUCGAGGCUCUGAUCUCAUUACUCGCAACAAGCAAACACCAAUCUCAGCACAACACAGAUGUGGGAGUGUGAUAAUAGACAUCAACCCAGGGGAGUUAAGAGCCUACAGGUGGACUCUGGAGUAGAGAUAGGACUUAUAUAAUGCUACGUGACCAGCAAAAUCUGUGGCAGCGGUGUGACAACAGGAGAUGGAAAAAAGCAGUGCAGUAACUUAGAGGAAAGAGUGAACAGAGCUUCAAUGUCAGCCUUGCAGCAGGUCAGUAUUUCACAUUUCUUCCUGAAGACCGCUUCAUACCAGCCAGAUUCAGCUUUUUCUGGAUCCAUAUCAUCAUGCGCCCAGUCGAUGGUUCCUGCUAGUGUAGGAACAUGGGUAGCACCACAGGGAGAAUGACCUUUUCAGCCAUGUGUCACCUGCCCAUGAUGCUCCAGGUGGUCCUCUCAGCAUAGCGUGUCUGAAUGUCUAUGUCAUGAUGCUCCAGUGAAGCAACACUGAAGGAAAUAGGAUCACAGCAAAGUAUUAGACUCAAGCACACACACACACAUUCACAGAUACACUUUUAUUUUAUUUUUAUUCAUCUGCAGUUGGCAAGUGUUUGGUUUAAAGAGAAGGCAUUUAGACAGUUGGUAUUAAAGCUGCACAAGGCGAAAGUUGGCAGCACAAAGACAGGCAAAAUAUCAAACCUUGGUGAGGCCAGCUCAAUGUGGAAAGAACAAUCCUUCUACUGUUCAGGAAAAAGUUUGCUCUUUUAUAUGAUUAAUUAAUUAUUGGUAGAACCAUUCACAAUAGGUUAUAAGCUGACACUAUCAAGAGUUAUCAGAUGCUCUGAGAAGUGUUUGAAGUCGCAAGAAACCAAAUUCAUAUUUACCCCUUUAAAGCAUCAAUGAUUUUUUGUUGUUUGCCUUUGGGUUUGAUUAUCAGGAUAUUGAAAGCUAACGGCCACUUUUCUCUGUUGUGAAACAGGUCUGAUGCAGAUCCAAUUUGUUUUUAGUAGGGCAGAUUUUUUGUUAUUCAAAUCUUUUUUGUUUUAACCAUGAAUCUUACUUUUAGAUUUACUGCCAGGGGACAUCACCCACACAAAGACCUUUAGCUGUUGUAGCGGCGAAUCCAGUGGUCUAACUGCAACACUUUUGAACACAAGACUAAAUGUAACUGUCAUCCUGUUGUUUUAUUUGCAAAAAUACAAUGCAUCCAAAAAUUGUAUUAGCAAUAAACAUAUUAAAAAAUAUUGCCUAAUCUUUGAUCAUGAUGCAACAGCUUCACAAAACUAUUGUUUAUUAUUAUAUGUGCAUGUUCCUAGACAACAUAAAUAAUGAAUGCAAUGUUUUUCUGCAGGUAAUUAUAAAAAAUAUAAUGCAGCACAUUGUCCAUCGCUUAUACUUGCUUUAUUUACAAAGUUUCAGUUCUUAGACAUUCAUGAAAAUUAAUGAUUGAAUGACUGAAAUAAAAAGAUUUUUGCGUGA